GACGAACGCUGGCGGCGUACUUAACACAUGCAAGUCGAGCGGUAAGGCCCUUUCGGGGGUACACGAGCGGCGAACGGGUGAGUAACACGUGGGUGACCUGCCCUCAGCUCUGGGAUAAGCCUGGGAAACCGGGUCUAAUACCGGAUAUGACUCCAUGACGCAUGUUGUGGGGUGGAAAGCCUUGUGCGGCUGAGGAUGGGCCCGCGGCCUAUCAGCUUGUUGGUGGGGUGAUGGCCACCAAGGCGACGACGGGUAGCCGGCCUGAGAGGGCGACCGGCCACACGUGGGACUGAGAC
rnacentral:rRNA from 1 species